GACGAACGCUGGCGGCGCGCUUAACACAUGCAAGUCGAACGGAAAGGCCUGCUUUCCCUUGUGGAUUGCGGGUACUCGAGUGGCGAACGGGUGAGUAACACGUGAGUGAUCUGCCCCCAACUUGGGUAUAAGCCUGGGAAACUGGGUCUAAUUCCCGAUAGGACUGCAGGGUGGUGCCUGUGGUGGAAAACGAUUUUCUAGUGGUUGGGGAUGAGCUCGCGGCCUAUCAGCUUGUUGGUGGGGUAAUGGCCUACCAAGGCGGCGACGGGUAGCCGGCCUGAGAGGGUGGACGGCGACAUUGGGACUGAGAUACGGCCCAGACUCCUACGGGAGGCAGGAGUGGGGAAUAAUGCACAAUGGGCGGAAGCCUGAGGCAGCGACGCCGCGUGGGGGAUGACGGCCUUCGGGUUGUAAACUCCUUUCGACCGCGAGGAAGCCACCUGGUUGGAAGGGUGGUGACGGUAGUGGUAGAAGAAGCACCGGCUAACUACGUG
rnacentral:rRNA from 1 species